rnacentral:rRNA from 1 species
AUACGGAGGGUGCAAGCGUUAUUCGGAAUCACUGGGCGUAGAGGACGCGUAGGCGGGUUGGCAAGUCAGAUGUGAAAUCCUACAGCUUAACUGUAGAACUGCAUUUGAAACUGCUAACCUAGAGUAUGGGAGGGGGAGAUGGAAUUAGUGGUGUAGGGGUAAAAUCCGUAGAUAUCACUAGGAAUACCGAAAGCGAAGGCGAUCUCCUGGAACAUAACUGACGCUAAGGCGUGAAAGCGUGGGGAGCAAACAGGAUUAGAUACCCUAGUAGUCC